GACGGAGGGUGCAAGCGUUGUCCGGAAUCACUGGGUGUAAAGGGUGUGUAGGCGGGGCUGUAAGUCAGAGGUGAAAGCCCGCGGCUUAACCGUGGAACUGCCUUUGAUACUGCAGCUCUUGAGUCCUGGAGAGGUCACUGGAAUUCGUGGUGUAGCGGUGAAAUGCGUAGAUAUCACGAGGAACACCGGAGGUGUAGACGGGUGACUGGACAGUGACUGACGCUGAGGCACGAAAGCGUGGGGAGCAAACAGG
rnacentral:rRNA from 2 species